GUUCGCCUCUUCAGUUCCAUCCAAGCUCGGUUUUGUCUGAAUCUUCGUGGAAGAAGAAGAAGCGGUUCAUUGAUCUACUCUUUCGAGAGAAGUAGGGAACAAUGUUAUUAACCGAUCGAUACGAAGAUACAAGAAUGGGUAGUGGAACAUCCAAUAGUAGGUAAGUUCCCGGCGGAAACCCCCGUUUUUGCCAGCAUGACAGAAAAUAGAGACUGGCAGCAAGGAGUCAACUGAAUGACCAAAGCAUCGGUUGCUUCCACUUGUGGUCUUCUCCCUCACUUUUUUACAGAAAUGAGGAUACACAGA
rnacentral:lncRNA from 1 species